AACUUUUAUUCCAGAACAGUGAGAAAGCCUUCGUCUUUAGACGGCGGAGCUAAACUAAUGCUAACAGGCCCGCUAGCCGACCAGACACUAAGCUGGUCUGGAGUGUCCGUGAUAUCUAACUCCACUGAACUCAGAAGCUGCUCUACCUUACGGACACGGCUCUCUCAGAGGGCCACCCUGUCUGACAACAUCACACAAGUUAUUUUAAAGUGUUGAGCACCAAGAAAAGAACAAGCGAGGAGCGACAACUAGCACAAGCUAAGAGCUAACGAGA